UACAGCAGGAUGGUUUUUAAACAACUGGCCCUCCCGGAGCAUACUUUAUUCCAGUAAGAGAGACAGAAGUACACAGAUAGGGUAAUGGCAGGCACUAAGACCGGCUAUGAAGAGAGAGCGGCUGGGAGGGCCCUCUGCAGAGGUGUAAACGGAGCAAGAGAAGGACUAUUCUGACAGAGGCAGCAAGGAGGCCGAGGUGCUGAGACAGGAUCCUAAGGACGUUCUGAGGACUGUAUGGAGGCCAGCAGGCUGGAGCCAGGAGAGAGUUGGAGCGAAGGGGUAGGGGAAAGGAGUUGCUGUUGCCAGGCUCCACCAGGAGGGAGAAAAAGGCUGCUACUGACCCUCACCUGUUCUCAUGCACACCCCUGAGAUGAGGAAACUGAGGCUCAGAGGAGUCUGACAACCUGUCCAAGUUUCUGCAGGCAAGUACAGCACAUAGCUGAGCCAGGAUAUCAUCCUGUGAUCGUUUCCAAGGUCACCUUUACCCCAGGCCUCGCUGCAUUCAUCACCUAGAGCCUCUCUCCCUGGAAGCAGGGCCUGAACUCCCUGACCCUGAGCUACCCUGGAGUCAGGUCAAUCUCUAUGACUCCAAAUCACUCCAAAUUAAGUCAACAAAGUGUCCACUGAAAGGGACUGAAGCAACCGGUGCCACUGAACGAGCCAGACUCCAGCAGCCCCUGCCACAGCCUCCUCCCCACAAGGACCCUACAACCAUGCCAUCCGGAGCCUGCAGUCCAGACACCCACCGCAGGAGCAGGGCCCAGACGGAAUCUGUACAGAAGCCUCUCCCGGAAACCGCACCCCAGCCCUCCCAGCCGAACACCCGACCCUCACCUGGAGACUACCAGUGGGAGGAUCAGCAUCUUCAACAUCCUCAUCAAGAGCUCUCCCGGAAACUGGAAGUAACUAAUUUCCUGAAAACACAGCAAGAGCUGGGCUUAGAGCAGAUGAUAUGGACUUCACAGUUAUUUUACAAUCUUCAGAACACCACUUCACCCAUAUUCUCCUGUCUAACACAUGGACAGCAGAGUCCAUGGAGAAAACACUGGCUCUGGAGCCAAACAGACUUGGAUUCCAAUCUUGACCCCCUACUCCAUUCCACGUGGACCGAUUCAGUGGACCUGAACUUGGGCAAACUCCAGGAGAUGGUGAAGGACAGGGAAGCCUGGUGUGCUGCAGUCCAUGGGGUCACAAAGAGUCAGACACGACUUGGUGACUGAACAACAGCAGACUACCCUUCCCUCCCCCACAACU